GGGACAAUCCGCAGCCCCUGGGUCUCUGCAGUUACCGGCCAAAAGUCUGAAAACUUUCCCCAACAACAACGCGGAAAAUGACACUUUGGCUCCAUUUGGUUUUCUUUGUAGCGGCUCUGGAAGGGGCCCGCUCGCAGGUGGUUCUGACCCAGUCGGGGCCAGCGCUGAAGAAGCCCGGAGAGUCCCAGAAACUGCAAUGUGCCACCAGCGGGUUCACUCUUAGCAGCUACUGGAUGGGCUGGAUCAGACAGGAGCCGGGACAGGGGCUGGAGUGGCUGGCUU